ACGUAGGGGGCAAGCGUUGCUCGGAAUUACUGGGCGUAAAGGGUGUGUAGGUGGCUGAUUAAGUUAAGGAUGAAAUCCCGAGGCUCAACUUCGGAACUGUCCUGGAUACUGGUCAGCUUGAGGCUAGUAAAGGAGAGCGGAAUUCCCGGGGGAGGGGUGAAAUGCGUAGAUACCGGGGGGAACACCAGAGGCGUAGGCGGUUCACUAGGCUGGUCCUGACAGUGAGGCACGAAAGCUGGGGGAGCAAACGG
rnacentral:rRNA from 1 species